rnacentral:tRNA from 1 species
UCCCUGCUGGCUCAGACAGUAAAGAAUCUGCCUGCAAUGCAGGAGACCUGGGUUUGAUCCCUGGGUAGGGAA